GGGCUUAUGAUGAUAAUUUUAAUUAACUUAGCGGAUUUCAGUGAGACUCAUUUUGUGUCAGUGAUCUGAUUGUUACACACACUGAAGCCC